ACACGGAACGUUCCGGAAGGCGGCGGCGGCGCUCCAGGAGGCAGCCCCGUGGGAAGGGGCGCUGUGGCGGCGGGGAGCCCGCGGCCCUCGCCCGGUACGAGUCUGUCACGGAACGGCCCGGCCCGGCCCCACGCGCCCGGCCUCGCGCUCUGCUUCAGCACCAGGGACAGGCGCUGCGCCCCGCCAGCCGGGGAGCGAAAGGAAUGUCGUACCUAAGGCAGCGAGCUGGUCGGGUAAUUAGUUCUACCGCAGGUUAAGGAGACGAAAUCAUCCUUACACCUCUUUUUNNNNNNNNNNNNNNNNNNNNNNNNNNNNNNNNNNNNNNNNNNNNNNNNNNNNNNNNNNNNNNNNNNNNNNNNNNNNNNNNNNNNNNNNNNNNNNNNNNNNUUAAUUUUGGUCUCAAUUGCGAUGGUUACUCCAGAAAGAAGAAUCACAGAACUAUAGAAUCAUAGAAUCACAGAAUUCCCAGCCUGGUCUGGGUUGAAAAGGACCACCAUGAUCAUCUAGUUUCAACCCCCUGCUGUGUGCAGGGUCGCCAACCAGCAGAACAGGCUGCCCCGAGUCACACCACAGCUUUGUGCAGUGUUAUGACUAAUUUGCAGCAGGGGAAACGAGCUUAUGCUGACAGUGGUGUAGUCAGUUUGUCUUCUAACAAAGAAGGCAAUUUGUAAAGUGAUUUUAAGAUGGCUGUUCAUGACUGCUGUUGUCUCGAGCCAUGGAUAAACUGCAGUACUUUAUUUAUUGGAUUGCUUGCUGUUGUACAGCUAGCAAGUCUAGUUACCAUCAUCUGCGAGAUUAUCCUUGAGACUGCAAUGAAAUCAUACUGUAAAAUAUGGGAUAUAAUUUUCAGAAGUCAUCUGUGCUGUAAUUGUUACUUGCCACUGAGUUGCCUGAUACUACUGCCUCAACUUUGCCCUUCAUAAGGUUAAGGUUCUUCUUGUUUCACUGAACAGCAGCAGAAAGUGAGUUUUAACUUGAGUGUCUGGAAAACAGUAUUUCAAAUAAGAUUUAUCAAUAUUUCAAUAUGCCUGUAAAUGUCCUACAGCCUAUUCAGGAAACAUCCUGAAUGUUACAAUGAAUACUGAAUAGUAUGUGACUUUGCAUAGGAGCACUUGUUCUAUCCAAUGAUAUACUCUCAGAAUUUUAUCUGUAACUGGACUAUUGUCUUAUAUAUAUGUGUGAAAGUUACAAUGAAAACUAAAUACUGAGGGAAAUGACUAACAGCUUUGCUCUUGCUUUGUGGAUAAAGCGUGCUUUGCAAAAGUUCCCUCAAGCAACUUUUUACGUAUGUGUCAAGUUCAUGUUCUUAGUGGCUGAAUCUAAUUAUUUCUGACAAAGUGAAAUGUUAAAGUUGGAUUGUGAUACUGAGAGCAGAUCCUUUGUGGAGGGAGAGAAAAACAGGAGGAGGUAACUGUCUCUAGGAACUGUAAUAUAGGAGAACUACAUGACUUCAUAAAUACAAACAGGAAACAGUGAUGGAAUAAGUUAUAUCACAAGGUUUCUUUUAGCUCAAGCUGUGUUGGAUUCCUUGCUGAGACAGUUUAACCUGAGCUGCAGCUCACUUGUUCUUUGCAGCAUAUCUGAGACAAAGAUAUUUGCAGCAUAUCUUUGCAGCAUAUCUUGAUUUAAGCCUGGUAGAAUUAACAGGAGUGUUUCCAUUAAUUCUACUGAUUACUGAAGUUAUAGCUGUCACCAGAAGAUCUAAUUUGGCUUUUUUUUUCCUGUGAAAUUCUGUGCUUCAUGCCUGAGUAUUUAUUCUAGUAGCCCAAAUGAAGGUUGAUCUUAAACAUGUUCUCCUACAUAAGGUCUCCAUGGCAAGUGUUGGUUACAGCUCUCCUGAGAGGGGUCCAAAAUAUUUUUUGGUGCUGAAUCCGAAGCGGUACUGCUAUUUGUGUAAGUUUAAUGAUUGAAGAGUAAGGAAAAAGUUCCCCAUCCAGAGGAAUGAAUCCUGUUUUUCCCAGCCACUGAUCCUAUUUUUUAACUUCAGGUGAAUCCUAAUCUUGAGAGCCAAUUCCAUUGCCAGAAAAUGCUUGUACUUAGUAUGCCAGCCAAACACUGUGAGACCAGAUUUGUGGUUGAACAUCACAAGAUCCCGAUAUCUCCAUGCACGGUGAGGUGAUAUCAGUGUUUGGAAAAUGUACUAGCAUUUUCCUAUGCUGACAUAUCUCUUGCACCAUUUGCUUUCCUCUGUGAGCCAGGUACAUAGAAUUCCUGUGUCAUGUCUCUAGCAGAGUUCUGCUGCUGACAGGACUGCUGCAACAAAGCUGCUAUUUUUCUAAAAACAACAACAACAACAAAAACUUGUACUCUGUAUUAGACUAAUUAGGCUAGAUUUGCUUCGGAGAGAAUGUACUAAGUUUAUUAGGAUUACACUGAUCAUAUCCUCAUUUCUUUGUCCUUGUAAGUGAUGUCAAAGUUCACAGUUGUCAAGAUUUAGGAAUUGACCUAUUUGCAAGUUUGAAAAUGAGUGUUCAGGUUUUGAAUUAGAUAGGAGAUGAGGAAGGCAUCAUAACCUUCUUUUGUUCAGUGUAAAAUGUUUAGUGCAUAGGAUUGUGGCCCUUGUCUGAGGUUGCUAGGUCUGGCCAGUACUCAUAAAUUCUUUGUUUUAAGAUUGUUUUUAUAUAAAGCUAUUUAUAACAUGGGACUCUUCACAUUCCUAUGACAUUGACAACUGCGAGGCUAUAAGCACAAGUGUUUGAACUGAGAUACCUGUUGCUCAGCCACUGAAAUAACUGAUACUGACAUUGCUUUGCAGAAAAAGGACCUCUCUCAUUGGAGUCCUGUGUAAAUAGUUGUUACAGGAACAGAAACAUACAGCUGCUCUGUCUGGGUUACUGAGAUGUGAUUCUUUCCCUGAGGGAUCAGAGUAGGAUGAGGGCUACACUACAGCUUUCCCUGGAAUGUCCCAUGUAAAAACAUGGCACGACUCAUAAUAAGAAAAACAGGCAUGCCUGUGAAAUUUAUCCAUGUUAUGUGCCUUUUUUCUGGAUGUCAGACUUGCUGAAGGUUUUUCACAGGACUUGAAGAAAAGUACUCUUUGCUACCAGUGCAGGGAGAGAGAUUUCCUUUUGUCUGUUACAAUAAUUUGAGUAAAACUAUCUAUAGUUCUGCAGGCUCUUUGAUAGCAGUCUGUGUCUGCCUUGCAUGAGAAUGUGUGAA
ensembl:lncRNA